rnacentral:rRNA from 1 species
UACGAAGGGGGCUAGCGUUGUUCGGAUUUACUGGGCGUAAAGGGUGCGUAGGCGGAUUUUUAAGUCAGGGGUGAAAUCCCAAGGCUCAACCUUGGAACUGCCUUUGAUACUGGGGAUCUUGAGUCCGGGAGAGGUGAGUGGAACUGCGAGUGUAGAGGUGAAAUUCGUAGAUAUUCGCAAGAACACCAGUGGCGAAGGCGGCUCACUGGCCCGAUACUGACGCUGAGGCACGAAAGCGUGGGGAGCAAACAGG